AAUUUUUGACAAUGGGGGAAACCCUGAUCCAGCCAUCCCGCGUGUAUGACGAAGUCCUUCGGUUUGUAAAGUACUUUUGGCAGAGAAGAAAAGAUAUCCCCUAAUACUGGCGACUGCUGACGGUAUCUGCAGAAAAAGCACCGGCCAGCUACGUGCCAGCAGCCGCGGUAAUACGUAGGUUGCAAGCGUUAAUCGGAAUUACUGGGCGUAAAGCGUGUAUAGGCGGUUCGGAAAGAAAGAUGUGAAAUCCCAGGGCUCAACCUUGGAACUGCAUUUUUAACUGCCGAGCUAGAGUAUGUCAGAGGGGGGUAGAAUUCCACGUGUAGCAGUGAAAUGCGUAGAUAUGUGGAGGAAUACCGAUGGCGAAGGCAGCCCCCUGGGAUAAUACUGACGCUCAGACACGAAAGCGUGGGGAGCAAACAGG
rnacentral:rRNA from 1 species